GACGAACGCNGGCGGCGUGCCUAAUACAUGCAAGUAGAACGCUGAAGGAGGAGCUUGCUUCUCUGGAUGAGUUGCGAACGGGUGAGUAACGCGUAGGUAACCUGCCUGGUAGCGGGGGAUAACUAUUGGAAACGAUAGCUAAUACCGCAUAAGAGUAGAUGUUGCAUGACAUUUGCUUAAAAGGUGCAAUUGCAUCACUACCAGAUGGACCUGCGUUGUAUUAGCUAGUUGGUGAGGUAACGGCUCACCAAGGCGACGAUACAUAGCCGACCUGAGAGGGUGAUCGGCCACACUGGGACUGAGACACGGCCCAGACUCCUACGGGAGGCAGCAGUAGGGAAUCUUCGGCAAUGGACGGAAGUCUGACCGAGCAACGCCGCGUGAGUGAAGAAGGUUUUCGGAUCGUAAANCU
rnacentral:rRNA from 1 species